CCUACGGGGGGCUGCAGUGAGGAAUAUUGGUCAAUGGACGAGAGUCUGAACCAGCCAAGUAGCGUGAAGGAUGACUGCCCUAUGGGUUGUAAACUUCUUUUAUAUGGGAAUAAAAUGUUCCACGUGUGGGAUUUUGUAUGUACCAUAUGAAUAAGGAUCGGCUAACUCCGUGCCAGCAGCCGCGGUGAUACGGAGGAUCCGAGCGUUAUCCGGAUUUAUUGGGUUUAAAGGGAGCGUAGGUGGAUUGUUAAGUCAGUUGUGAAAGUUUGUGGCUCAACCGUAAAAUUGCAGUUGAAACUGGCAGUCUUGAGUACAGUAGAGGUGGGCGGAAGUCGUGGUGUAGCGGUGAAAUGCUUAGAUAUCACGAAGAACUCCGAUUGCGAAGGCAGUUCACUGGACUGCAACUGACACUGAGGCUCGAAAGUGUGGGUAUCAAACAGGAUUAGAUACCCUUGUAGUC
rnacentral:rRNA from 1 species